rnacentral:rRNA from 1 species
AACGAACGCUGGCGGCAGGCCUAACACAUGCAAGUCGAGCGAGGACUUCGGUUCUAGCGGCGGACGGGUGAGUAACGCGUGGGAAUGUGCCCUUCUCUACGGAAUAGCCCUGGGAAACUGGGAGUAAUACCGUAUACGCCCUAUUGGGGAAAGAUUUAUCGGAGAAGGAUCAGCCCGCGUUGGAUUAGGUAGUUGGUGGGGUAAUGGCCUACCAAGCGGACGAUCCAUAGCUGGUUUGAGAGGAUGAUCAGCCACACUGGGACUGAGACACGGCCCAGACUCCUACGGGAGGCAGCAGUGGGGAAUCUUAGACAAUGGGGGCAACCCUGAUCUAGCCAUGCCGCGUGAGUGAUGAAGGCCUUAGGGUUGUAAAGCUCUUUCAGCUGGGAAGAUAAUGACGGUACCAGCAGAAGAAGCCCCGGCUAACUCCGUG